GGAGUUUUAUUUUCGAUUUAGUCUGUGUAAAAUUAUAAUCAUGCCCUCAUCAUCAGUAAGAUUUUUUUCCCCUUUCUUCCCUAUUCCUCGUUCCAUUUUGGGGCAGUUUACACGAGAGGAGAGGGGGAGAGAUUCGAAACCCUCACCCUCCGUGCUUCAAUCUCUGCCAUUCCUCCGCCUUCCUUCACCGUCGCGUUGUCGCUAGCCACCGUGGGAGUAUCUGAGUCAUUUCCCUUCCUCUCUUGUUCGUACGAUGUUGUGGGGGUGCUGCAGUCGGUCCUCUGUUCUUCGUGUUCCCCUGCUUCAGGUUCUGCAACCAGUCUUCUUCCUUUGUUCUUGCUGUGAUGUGGGGUGCGUCAGACGUUCUUCUUUCACCUCCUCCUUGUUGUUUGCCCGUCGCUGCUGUACUGAUAGCAUGUACCUCCAUCAGAUCAUUCAAGGGAUUUUGCUAUUGUAUUGAAGUUGGGAUGCCAUUUUGGUUAAUCUUUAUUAUUGGUGUAAAAUUUUAAUCUACAUAUUGUACUUUUAUAAAUAAUGUUAUAGAUGCUCCAUAUAGGUUAUGAUUAGGGUCCUUGUUAUGUUAAAUACUUUGUUUGCUGGCUGAAUGGAGUCGAUUUCCUAGUUGUUAUAA